rnacentral:lncRNA from 1 species
AACCGUUUUUUUUUUUUUAUUUUUUUAUUUUAGAUCGGUAAGAUUAACGUUGUCUGAUUGGAUCAAUGUGUGUGUGACUUGCUUUAAUGUCCCUCUCGAAAUGACGUCAGAACUUGACUAACAAUCGAGUUUUACAGUUCAAUACAAUUCUGGAUUAUCCUUUUUACUGAUCGAUAGCAGAUGCGAGAGAGAGAGAGAGAGAGAGAGAGGAACUCGCUGCUCGCUACACGUGUUCGAGCGAUAGCACUUACGAUAAAAGCACAACAGAAACUGCUCAACAUAAGCGAUAACCGCGACAUUUUUUUUUCUCUUAUAAAUAAUAAAAUAUAUAUAUACCGGUAUAUAUAUAAUAAAUUUCCGUAUUAUUCUCCGGUAACAAUAAAAAAAAAAAAAUCCUUCAGCAGUAAAAAUGCUCACGUAUCGAGAUGAUUUCGCUUAAAAAUCACGAUUAGUCAGCCGACAGAAUUACUAAUUUUCGAAAUCGGCCAUUGCCCCCUCUACCCGUUUCUGAUCAAAGUUCGUAAAAUUUUAGAAAAUUAGAUCUUUCUCAGAUAAAUCGUUAGAAAUCGUUAAAAAAAACGAUAACACAAAAAGGUGUCUUAAAGCGUUUUUUUUUUCUUUGAUUUAUGAAACUAUUUUCUAAGAAUUACGAAAAUCGUUACAUACACACACACACAUACACACAAACGCAUACUUUCUGUGCUCAAAAGCAAUUUGGGAACCGAAAAUUAUUUAGGAAAAAUGCUGGAAGCAAUUGAAAUGUUGCGGUAUAGUGCUUUUAUAUUCGUUUGGAUAAUCCCAAACCGGUCUGCAUGUAAUUAUUUCAUGGUUUUGUAAAACCGACAACGCGUCGCUCCGAGCUUCAAAAAUGGAAUACUUAAUUAUAGUCCUAUCCGUGUAUGUUAUGUCGUAAUUCUCAUUUUUCUAUUCUCUUAUUGAAAAGAAUAUUUGAAACAUAGUUGCAAACUACAUAAAGAACAUCAUUCUACCUAUAAAGAAACACACAAGGUUUGCGUAUUCACGGUUAAACCAGUCUCUUUACAGCCCUCCACAUGCGUAUGGAAGACAUUGAUAUAUGACAAUAAAAGACCGUAAAUCACUUCACGAAAUCACAGGUAUUACAGGUGUAGAGAACAGGUAGUCUGCUGUCUAAAGUGUUUCUUUUAUUUUUUCCUCCUUUACAGCAAACAUGUCGGGGAAAAGUGAAGCUUGAGUUUUUUUCUGUUUUAACAAUCCUUUCUUGGUUUUAAAAAAAUACCGCUUUUUUUGUUAAACACGGAGCAUUUAUUCAUUUUUAAAUUGAGUCUGAA